AUACGGAGGGUGCAAGCGUUAUUCGGAAUCACUGGGCGUAAAGGACGCGUAGGCGGGUUGGCAAGUCAGAUGUGAAAUCCUACAGCUUAACUGUAGAACUGCAUUUGAAACUGCUAACCUAGAGUAUGGGAGGGGGAGAUGGAAUUAGUGGUGUAGGGGUAAAAUCCGUAGAUAUCACUAGGAAUAACGAAAGCGAAGGCGAUCUCCUGGAACAUAACUGACGCUAAGGCGUGAAAGCGUGGGGAGCAAACAGGAUUAGAAACCCUAGUAGUCC
rnacentral:rRNA from 1 species